AUGCUUCUUGUAGACAAGUGUUGACUUAGGGGCCUAUGUAACUUAUAUAUCUAACAGGAACUCCUGCAGUGUGAGGCAUGCACAGAGAAGUGUGCACUGUGUGCACUUGAUGUGCCGGGGGUACAUAUGACGGAGCGCUAUGAUGCCAUGCAUUCGAAAGGCCAAGAAACGCUACCGCGUAGGGGAAGGAAGAGAGAUAUAUCACCUGAUUCUGAUGACAGCUCAGAAGAAGACCUGCCAAAGAUAUACGAUUUUAAAAGAAGCAAAGGAGAUGCGAGUGGCCAAGAAACUCCGCAGCCAAGUACAAGCGAAGUGUGUGCUCACUCACCAAUGUCCAUGCCA